rnacentral:rRNA from 1 species
GCCAGCAGCCAUAUCACCUUACAACUCAAACUGGUAGCCCACUGAAGCUCAGCAGGUGUGAGCCUGUCUAGUAUGCGGCUGGGAGACCUGGUGGGAAAGCUGAGGUUGCUGUUGGAA